rnacentral:rRNA from 1 species
AAUCUGUCUUAGUGGCGGACGGGUGAGUAACGCGUGGGCAACCUGCCCUGUACCGGGGGAUAACACUUAGAAAUAGGUGCUAAUACCGCAUAAUAGGGAAUACCGCAUGGUAAUCCUUUGAAAACUCCGGUGGUACAGGAUGGGCCCGCGUCUGAUUAGCCAGUUGGCGGGGUAACGGCCCACCAAAGCGACGAUCAGCAGCCGGCCUGAGAGGGUGGACGGCCACACUGGGACUGAGACACGGCCCAGACUCCUACGGAAGGCAGCAG